rnacentral:rRNA from 1 species
GACAGAGGCCUCGAGCGUUAGGCGGAAUCACUGGGCUUAAAGCGUGUGUAGGCGGGCCCGUAAGUGUCUUGUGAAAUCCCACGGCUCAACCGUGGAACUGCUGGGCAUACUGCGGGUCUUGGGCCAACUAGGGGCAGCCGGAACAAGCGGUGGAGCGGUGAAAUGCGUAGAUAUCUGGAGGAACACCGGUGGCGAAGGCGGCAUCCUGGACCAAUAUUGACGCUGAGGAGCGAAAGCCAGGGGAGCAAACGGGG